GCCUUAGAGGGUGAGAGCCCCGUACGGUUGGAUGCCUAGCCUUUGUAAAUCUCCUUCGACGAGUCGAGUAGUUUGGGAAUGCUGCUCUAAAUGGGAGGUAAAUUUCUUCUAAAGCUAAAUAUUGGCCAGAGACCGAUAGCGCACAAGUAGAGUGAUCGAAAGAUGAAAAGCACUUUGAAAAGAGGGUUAAAUAGCACGUGAAAUUGUUGAAAGGGAAGGAUUUAUGACCAGACUUUUUCUAGGCGGAUCAUCCGGUGUUCUCACCGGUGCACUUUGUCUAGUUUAGGCCAGCAUCGAUUUUCGGCAGCGGAUAAAAGCUUCAGGAAUGUGGCUCCUCCGGGAGUGUUAUAGCCUGUUGUAUAAUACGCCGCUGGGGAUCGAGGUACGCGCUUCUGCAAGGAUGCUGGCGUAAUGGUUAUCAAUCACCCGUCUUGAAACACGGACCAAGGAGUCGAACAUUUAUGCGAGUGUUUGGGUGUUAAACCCUCACGCGUAAUGAAAGUGAACGGAGGUGAGAGCCCUUACGGGUGCAUCAUCGACCGAUCCUGAUGUUUUCGGAUGGAUUUGAGUAAGAGCAUAACUGUUCGGACCCGAAAGAUGGUGAACUAUGCGUGGAU
rnacentral:rRNA from 1 species